UCCGGCGAAUGUGAGAGGGAGCGAGAACGGUUGGCGGCACCGGGGGGCGAUGGCAAUCCCAGAAGAUUGCAGUGUAGCGGAGUGGCCUAUGACGUGGCGGCCGGGGUCACCACGAAGUGCGAGCGGCAACCCCACCGCCGCUGGGCCGCCAACACAUAAAAGGAGUUGCGCCCCUUUAUUUGAGCCGAGAAAGCAUAGAGUUUUGAACUAGCAAGGAGGUGCCACAGCUUUCAAGUUUGAAAAAGAUCACGCUAAUCCUUGACGCAGCGCUGUCGACGAACUCCGUAACGACUACUGAAGCGUCGUGAUGUGCCGCACCGCCAAUAACAUCAACACGAACUGCAGCGGAGCGAUGAGUACCGCGCUGUUGACGGUUGCCCUAGUCAUUGCAGUAUGCGCGGUAGGUACUUUCGGAAAGUUAGACGCGGAAUCACCGCCCAGCGCACCAUCUCCAGUUGAGUACCCUCCCCAAUACUUCGGUAUAGCUCGUCCUUCCGCUCAGAAUUAUUCUCAUAGACAUGAAAUGGAUUUUGCCAGAAGUCUCAGUUCAUGAAGAUCUUGAUAGUUUAAAGUACGCAAAUGCAACCGAUGCUUAUCAAGAAAAAUUGCCGAUGUCGCAAAGAUGAUGAGGAAUUACCGUAUCGGAUAUUCUAACCAAAACCUACUGGAGAAUGAUUGGACAUCAAGACAUGCUUGUUUAAAUUGCGGAUGACAGUAGAAGCCAUGAUGCGCCCCUUGAAGCAGAGUAUGUUCUUCUCAAAAAAGCUGACGUACCUCCAGCGCCUUGGAACCGCUUGUACAAUGAUUGGGGUAAAAGGGCUGAUAACUGGAAGAAUCUAAAUCACCUGUGGGGCAAACGGUCAGCUACACUUCCGACCCGGUGGGACAAACGCCCUCAGCCGCAGUGGAACGAGCUAUCCGGUUAUUGGGGAAAGCGUUCGGCCCAGUAAAUGUACCGCCUGAAUAGAAGUAAACAGAAAUGUACUGCAGAAGAAGGCUAGCUCUCGUUCUCACCGCUAUCCGUAAGUGAAAAGGACUUCGAAGACCAGGUGUCACCAUGGGGCAGUCGAUUUUAGCAGUAACCGGAUUCGUAAAGGAGCCGGCUGGAAACGAUGGAAAGCAUACAAAAACAUACAUUUUUUUGGAGGCCUAAGGCCUCUGAUGGCAAAAAUUGUUUACCGCACACAUAAUCAAUAAAAAAUACUAAAGGAUAUAUCCAGAUUCGAUGACAACAUCAUACUGGUCAUAAUGUCUAAUGAUUAUAGUCUAGCAAAGGAAUAUAACUCAACUUUAUCAAAAGAACGUGACUAUGAACCUAUUGAACAGGAAUACCAUUGCGAAGACGCUAAUAUCUUAGCGAUAAAUAAUAAAUAUAAGCAGCUUAUUUUCUAGAUUACAACAUAUAACGUACGCAUAAGUCAUUAAAAUAAUGAAACAAAUAUGGAAAGGCUAAUGUCGAAACGAAUGGAAACAUAGUAGGUUGAAACAAGCAAUGACAGCACCAAAAACAUCAAGUACUAUUUAACAAUCAAUUAUAUCAUUUACGUAAGAAGAUACAAAUAGGGACGGCACGGGUAUUGCAAAAGGCAAAAGGGUGCUUCUCAAAGCUCUCCGAUCAAGUUAGUCCUCUUUCCAGGACCGGAUCGGCGCUCUGCACGAAGGUGCAGGCCGUUUUCUAAUUUCUUUGCCACGCCGUGUUGAUUAUCAUUAGCAAGAACUGAACAACCGUCACAGCCAUUAGUUAACUAGAACAUAUACACAAAUAUCACCUUCACAUGAGAAGACCAAACGUUAUUUUUAAAACGUUUGUUCAAUUCAUAGCACGAUCGAGCCUAUGCAUGACGAAACCUCAGGGAAAACAAAGUUCUCGUAUCAACAGAUCGGACAGACGAGGUAAUGGAUAGUGACAAGUAAGCGGAUAAUCGGUCAUCGCCUCUUCGAAUGCGACCGUAAUCUCCGUGUGUAUUGGCUUAACUGAUCUCAAUCAUUAAGACAAUCUAUGACAAAAUCUCAUGAUUGAAGACGCGUUACUGUAUGGUGACAUGCCGCAUUGCACGGAGUACUAAUUUUCUAGGUCUCAAGAUUUUCAGCUCACUUGUUAAUUCACUACUAUGAGACCAUAUUUUUAUCUACAUAUUGUUGUUUUGUAUCAUACAGAUGUCCAAAUUCAAGACGUUAACGCUCACGCUUUAUGUAGAUGAGGAAAUUAGAUUUACACUAUAGGCAAGAGCUAAGUCCGCUAGCUUACCUACUGAAAUAUGAAGCAUGUUUAUAUAGCGACGAUUCUGGUAUUUUUUUUUGCAUGUAGAGCUACAAACGACAGUGUCUAGGAUUCAUGCUGCAAAAAUAAACAUUUUUUGAUAGAUCUCAAUUCUCCUAAGCUUCGUUGUUACCACAGAUGGAGUGACAACAUCCACGAGGCCCUGGCACUGCGAUUUAUUCGACUUUUUCGGGACGUAUGUUCCAAACGUUUUCGGUUCGUUAAGUAUUCACUCGCGACACGGCCGUAUACCAGCUUUCGUGCUCCACACUCUGCUCGUAAAGUAAAUAACACUACUCUAUCGCUUAUAACAAAAACCACCCCCCACUGAGCCACGGAAAUGCUAAUUCGAAGCUGGAAAGAGAGAACAACUAACGAUCAAUAACAUGUGACUGAUAAAGCUUCAAAAUAGUGCAUAAGCUAUAUACGAGAUAGUAACCAGGCAGGACGCAAAUGAUACCACACCGUAACCACUCUCAUAGAGUCAUUGGAAACACGGCUCUUAUUCUACUGACGGUAUUCUAACUUGCGACUUGUUCUACGCUACUUAAUGCAAUGAACGAAAUUGUAAUUCAUUUUUUAAUUUUUACAUAUAUAUUUCUUUUUAUCACAAAUGAAUAAUAAAACACAUUUUUCAACAAUAAAUAACAAUUCUGAAUUAAGGAAAAAUGAAAAUACCAAUAACUAAGGACUGCUGCGCGGAAGAUACCCUAUGGUAAGUUCACGUCUUCGUCUGACGAGAACAAAAGUAAUUGCUAAUCCCACAGAUCUUCACUAAGAGACCCUUGAUUCUCCCUUCCAGCAAUAUUGGACCCGAACGCAGCAACUAAUAUCAAUGACAGGGCGGACAAUAAUAUCACCAAAAGCAAGGAGAGAGUCUCAAUAGGGAAGAGACGACCCAUAGAUUGUCAAAUAUAACAACUACGUACUUUAGAGACACGGCGAUAACAAUGCAAUGCCAUAAUGUUGUAAAAGUAAACAUGCAAAUGAAGAGAAAAAAGACAAGUAAAAA